GACGAAUGCUGGCUGCGUGCUUAACACAUGCAAGUCGAACGGUGAAAGGGAGCUUGCUCCCUGGAUCAGUGGCGAACGGGUGAGUAACACGUGGGCAACCUGCCCCUCACUCUGGGAUAACUCCGGGAAACCGGGGCUAAUACCGGAUACGACCUGGUGCGACAUCGCACCGGGUGGAAAGAACUUCGGUGAGGGAUGGGCCCGCGGCCUAUCAGCUUGUUGGUGGGGUAACGGCCCAGCAAGGCGACGACGGGUAGCCGGCCUGAGAGGGCGACCGGCCACACUGGGACUGAGACACUGCACAGACUCCUACGGGAGGCAGCAGUGGGGAAUAUUGCGCAGUGGGCGACGGCCUGACGCAGCGACGCAGCGUGAGGGACGAAGGCCUUCGGGUUGUAAACCUCGUUCAGCGGGGACGAAGCGAAAGUGACGGUACCCGCAGAAGAAGCACCGGCUAACUACGUGCCAGCCGCCGCAGUAAUAC
rnacentral:rRNA from 1 species